UGUCAGAACUGUGAUGUCUGUGGUC
rnacentral:piRNA from 1 species